rnacentral:rRNA from 1 species
UACGUAGGGUGCGAGCGUUGUCCGGAAUUAUUGGGCGUAAAGAGCUUGUAGGCGGUUUGUCGCGUCCGCUGUGAAAUUUCGGGGCUCAACCCCGAACUUGCAGUGGGUACGGGCAGACUAGAGUGUGGUAGGGGAGACUGGAAUUCCUGGUGUAGCGGUGAAAUGCGCAGAUAUCAGGAGGAACACCGGUGGCGAAGGCGGGUCUCUGGGCCGAUACUGACGCUGAGGAGCGAAAGCGUGGGGAGCGAACAGG